rnacentral:rRNA from 1 species
GUCCACGCCGUAAACGAUGUCGACUAGGCAUUGGCGGAUUCGACCCCGUCAGUGUCGAAGCUAACGCGUUAAGUCGACCGCCUGGGUAGUACGGCCGCAAGGCUAAAACUCAAAGGAAUAGACGGGGGCCCGGCACAAGCGGUGGAGCGUGUGGUUUAAUUCGAUGCUAAGCGAGGAACCUUACCAGGGCUAGAAAUCUGACUGUGGUCGCCUGGAAACAGGUGACGUCUUCGAGAUCGUCAGACAGGUGCUGCACGGUUGCCGU